rnacentral:rRNA from 1 species
UGGAAUAGCGCUAGCUAUAAUGCAGUCGACGCACAGCGAAAGGUGCUUGCACCUUUCAAGUGAGUGGCGAACGGGUGAGUAACACGUGGACAACCUGCCUCAAGGCUGGGGAUAACAUUUGGAAACAGAUGCUAAUACCGAAUAAAACUUAGUGUCGCAUGACACAAAGUUAAAAGGCGCUUCGGCGUCACCUAGAGAUGGAUCCGCGGUGCAUUAGUUAGUUGGUGGGGUAAAGGCCUACCAAGACAAUGAUGCAUAGCCGAGUUGAGAGACUGAUCGGCCACAUUGGGACUGAGACACGGCCCAAACUCCUACGGGAGGCUGCAGUAGGGAAUCUUCCACAAUGGGCGAAAGCCUGAUGGAGCAACGCCGCGUGUGUGAUGAAGGCUUUCGGGUCGUAAAGCACUGUUGUAUGGGAAGAACAGCUAGAAUAGGAAAUGAUUUUAGUUUGACGGUACCAUACCAGAAAGGGACGGCUAAAUACGUGCCAGCAGCCGCGGUAAUACGUAUGUCCCGAGCGUUAUCCGGAUUUAUUGGGCGUAAAGCGAGCGCAGACGGUUUAUUAAGUCUGAUGUGAAAGCCCGGAGCUCAACUCCGGAAUGGCAUUGGAAACUGGUUAACUUGAGUGCAGUAGAGGUAAGUGGAACUCCAUGUGUAGCGGUGGAAUGCGUAGAUAUAUGGAAGAACACCAGUGGCGAAGGCGGCUUACUGGACUGCAACUGACGUUGAGGCUCGAAAGUGUGGGUAGCAAACAGGAUUAGAUACCCUGGUAGUCCACACCGUAAACGAUGAACACUAGGUGUUAGGAGGUUUCCGCCUCUUAGUGCCGAAGCUAACGCAUUAAGUGUUCCGCCUGGGGAGUACGACCGCAAGGUUGAAACUCAAAGGAAUUGACGGGGACCCGCACAAGCGGUGGAGCAUGUGGUUUAAUUCGAAGCAACGCGAAGAACCUUACCAGGUCUUGACAUCCUUUGAAGCUUUUAGAGAUAGAAGUGUUCUCUUCGGAGACAAAAGUGACAGGUGCUGCAUGGGUCGUCGUCAGCUCGUGUCGUGAAGAUGUUGGGUUAAGUCCCGCAACGAGCGCAACCCUUAUUGUUAGUUGCCAGCAUUUCAGAUGGGCCACUCUAGCCGAGACUGCCGGUGACAAACCCGA